rnacentral:lncRNA from 1 species
GGAUGCUCCCUGGCAAAGCGACGGGUCUAUGAGCACAACACGUUGAAAAUACGUUUUUUUUUUUGUCAUUGCUGGAAAGACAUUGAAAAGCAACUUUUCAACUCCUCUCGGUCACACUCUGUUCUGCGCUGUCUUCUCAAUCUCGUUCCACCCCAUGCCGGAUCUUCUGGUGUUAGUUUCAAGAUCGUGCCUUUAGAUGUUUUAUGUGCUGAUUACAGACCCAUUAUACUACACCGAUUCUAGCAAGACUUCAAUAAGAGAACUAUGCUACAAAUGAGAUAUUAGAACACACAAGACAAUUUGGGGGAAAAAAUAGGUUUAUUGAUUUGGACAAUCUUGUAGGUUGCUUUCAACUCUUUUCUGAUUCAGUGAGGACAGCAGUCCAUCUUAGCUUGAUCAAACUCUCCCACAAGCCAAGAUAAGCAAAAACCUUUUGACUUAUCUGAAAUGGCACUUUCCAUGGCUGCUGCUUUUAAUGCAAUGACAGGGGUGCCUCCACUAAGAGAGAACACAAAACGACAUAACCCAGCUCUACAGGCCACUCCACUGAGGCCAGGGUGGGAUGUGACCUCAUCCUCUCUCCUUUCCUCCUCAGUCACAUAAAACCCCAGGGCUCAUUUUCCACGUCAAAGCUUCUCCACCUACUUGAUGGACGAGGAACUGGAGGCGGACUCUCUGCGUUUAUGCUGGAAUGACAAAGAAUACACCAAACGCUGUCAGCCAUUGGUCCAGAACAUAUCUGCAUAAUUUCACAUGCAACUAUGACAGUGCCCAUUGGAACACUACCUAAAUGUAUUCUCUUUGACAAGUUCUAUUCAGCCAACUCCUGUUAGACAGCCGGGCUGUAUUCAUUAGGGUACACUAUAUCAGAACGUAUAGCGACGGACAACGAAAACAGGCAUUCCUCAUAGGACAAGCUCCGGUAGUCCCUCCUCGUUUAUAUCCGUUUUAUUCCGUAUGGUGCCUAAUGAAAACAACCCAGGUUUGUGUGUGUGGGGUGGGUUAAAAGACUUACUGAGUUGGGGGUGAGUGGGGCUCCCACCACGUCGAUGAUCUGCUCCUUGGCCUCCCCAUUGAUGUCAUCGGGGCCGGGCACCUCCAGGCCCCCCAGUCCUCAUCCCCCUGGGGGCCUGACAGGGCCCACCCCUCCUCCAGCCUUCAGCAGCAGGACCUUGUAGAAGUGGCGGGGCAUCUGUUGUUCGUACUCACAGUUACCAUGGGCCUGCUUCAGCUCCUAGACCAGCACCAUGCCAAUGAGCAGCUCAUUGAACAUCUGGACCAUCUCCUCCGUGGGCUUGGGGUUCAGGUCUACACAGAGAGAACAGAGUAGGGAAAGAUGGAAUUAGAAACACGCAGAAAGUAUCCCGCGUACCACUUUGAGCCCUGAUUUAGGUUGUGUGAAACCGCAAUGCAUUGUCAGUAACCAAAUAGUUUGCCUUGUUUUACUAUUCCUACAUGGAUAUGCAAACUCAAAAGGCGUUGUAACUCCACUACCUGGUAAGAGUGCGUUGGUAUUUUUGGGAUGGUCUCUCUUACAGGUUUAGCCAAUUUUUUUUGUCAAUGCUUUCUGAUUUCUGUUUUCUCUAUUCAGAUUGGUGUGGUAGAUGUUAUUUCUAUAGCUUGUGUGAGAU